GUGCUCACUUCAGCAGCACAUGUACUAAAAUUGGAACACUACAGAGAAAAUUAACACGGCUGCUGUGCGAGGAUGACACACAGAUUCAUGAAGUGUUUCAUAAAAAA
rnacentral:snRNA from 1 species